GAGUUGAUAGCUCAGUGGUAGAGCAUUCGGCUUUUAACCGAGCGGUCUUGGGUUCAAAUCCCAAUCAACUCA
rnacentral:tRNA from 1 species